GACGAACGCUGGCGGCGUGCUUAACACAUGCAAGUCGAACGGAAAGGCCUGCUUUCCCUUGUGGAUUGCGGGUACUCGAGUGGCGAACGGGUGAGUAACACGUGAGUGAUCUGCCCCCAACUUGGGUAUAAGCCUGGGAGACUGGGUCUAAUUCCCGAUAGGACUGCAGGGUGGUGCCUGUGGUGGAAAACGAUUUUCUAGUGGUUGGGGAUGAGCUCGCGGCCUAUCAGCUUGUUGGUGGGGUAAUGGCCUACCAAGGCGGCGACGGGUAGCCGGCCUGAGGGGGUGGACGGCCACAUUGGGACUGAGAUACGGCCCAGACUCCUACGGGAGGCAGCAGUGGGGAAUAUUGCACAAUGGGCGGAAGCCUGAUGCAGCGACGCCGCGUGGGGGAUGACGGCCUUCGGGUUGUAAACUCCUUUCGACCGCGAGGAAGCCACCUGGUUGGAAGGGUGGCGACGGUAGUGGUAGAAGAAGCACCGGCUAACUACGUG
rnacentral:rRNA from 1 species